rnacentral:rRNA from 1 species
UACGAAGGGGGCUAGCGUUGCUCGGAAUUACUGGGCGUAAAGGGCGCGUAGGCGGACCGUUUAGUCAGAGGUGAAAGCCCAGGGCUCAACCCUGGAAUUGCCUUUGAUACUGACUGUCUUGAGUACGGGAGAGGUGAGUGGAACUCCGAGUGUAGAGGUGAAAUUCGUAGAUAUUCGGAAGAACACCAGUGGCGAAGGCGACUCGCUGGACAAGUAUUGACGCUGAGGUGCGAAAGCGUGGGGAGCAAACAGG